ACGUGCAGACGUUGGAGUGAACAUGGAAUGAUGGCGCCAUUUUGAUCAUCAGUCAAGCUUCAGGACAGCUUCAUCAACUCUUCAAACGUCAGCGUUUAAAAAAAUGGCUCGUCGGUUCUACUUCUGCAAGACCUUCUUCAGAUUUAGAAUGUACUCCUAUCACUCAGCCUCUCAGCCAGCACCGCAUAUUCCAUCUGACAUCACGGAAACACCUGUUAGCACUAACUCGGAAACUGGAGCUAAUGGAGCCGAGGCGGAAUUUUCAAAUCUACAGGCCGUGGAUGAUCUCGGGCUCGAUCAACCUAAUCAAGAAAAUUAAAACGCAUGUUCGGGGGCAAAAAAAACGUGCUUUUUUUGUCUAGUUGGUACAUUAAUCGAGACAGGCUUGAGUAAGCAUAAAAGCAGAUUCUGCAGGGGUUUUUUUUUGCUGUCGUAAAUGUAAUGUUGGCACGAGCUGUGUGGAAGCGUUUGUGAACGCUGGAUACCGUAAUUAUUUUGUGAUUUUUCUUUACGGUAAAUGAGCUGACAGUGUGUACUAGUUGUAUGUGUGUGCCCUUUCACUGUAUUGGUUUUUUAUGCCUCGUUUUUGCAAGUUAUUGUUGCUGAUUAGUUGGUUAUGGUCUGGCGCCGGCUCUGCAUGAACGUUCUUGUCAAGGUGAAAAUAUGUCGCAAUCCCAGUUUUAUAUCUUGCAAAUCUAACUUCAUGGUUUGCAAUGGCUUUAUUUACCACAGUUAUCGGAAAAAUUUGGGAGCAGGAGAUCAUGACGAACUAAUCAACCCAAACUUCAUCGUUUAUUAAAAGCUCAGCAUGCAAUGUAAAAUUUGCCCACUCUUCUCAAGAACAACUUCUAAAACACACAAGACUGCAACAUGGAGGACGAGUAAAUUGGAAUUGUUUUUAUGACAACUGUAUUUAAAGCUCCUAAACCCGAAGUGCACUCAAAUCACAUCUUACAAGAAUACCCAAAAGAACUCAAAUAUACUUUUGAGGUAAUUGAGAAGGUGUUCAUGGAAAUGGGCACUCGAUGCUCUGCAAGGGUACAGUCUUUGAAAACUAAGCUCUUCCUGUGAACGUUGUUGAACUGUGAAUUGUUGAACUAUGUUUAAAAAUGUUUUAAAAAUGUUUUUUUGGUGUUAUGAAAAUGGGGCUUACUGCUCUGCAAAGGUACAGUCUGUGAAAAGUAAACUCUUAAUGGGAAUGUUGACAUUUUGGUGUGAGCAUCUUGUGAUUUCAACAAAUAUUAGCAUCUUAAUGUUAAAAUGUUAAUUAAUAAAAUAAAUUGUUAAACUGAGUUGUUGAAAUGUUAAUAUAAUGUCUUACAAUGUCAUUUUUAUUUAAUGUGUUUUGUUGUUGAUUGUGCGUUUAUUUUUUUAUCUUUUCAGAUUCUUUAUGUGCCAUUUUAUUUAUUUUAUUUUUAUUUAAUUUAUAUUUGUACUAAUUUAUUUUAUUGUUUUAAAACUUUUCAUUGAUUGCAGUGUAUUUUGUAAGGUACAUGUUGACAUUGUUGCCAGUGUUACAGUGUUGAACUUCUAUGUUUUAAUGUUUUAUUUUACAUGUUUAUUAGUGUUUUAAUGUUUUAAGCAUCUAAGGAAUAAAGUCAAAGCCUUUACACGUUAAAAGGUUAAAAGUGAAUCUUCAAUUAUUUUCAUAUUGUGUUUUUAUUGAUUGACAUUUUUCCAGGAUUUUUAUUUUGACUUUCUUUUUUUUUUACUGUUAGGAGGUAUGGCUAUUGUUUGACCUUGUUUGUAUUUAAGAUAAUA